GAAUGAACACAAACCCAUUUAUGUUUGUAUAUUAUAUGAUUUGUCUACACUUAUGAUUAAUUUCAAACAUUUUGAUGCAGGUCGGAGAAUAUCAGGAGACUUAUAAGGUUAGAUAACCAAAAGGCUUUUGGAGAAAUAUGGUUCUGAGAGGGUUCUUGAUACCCCAAUCACAGAGGAGGUAAAAUGCAGAACAUUUGUUAACCAAGUCACUUAUUUCGGACUAAAAAAAAGGCUGCGAGAACCGGUGACUUAGAGCUUUUUCGUCGCGACUUGGAGCUUUCUCAAACUGUUAUUGGGAAGUUUUUGGAUAGUUUUUAGAUAAGUUAGUUAAUUUAGGAAGUUGAGUUGAACUAGGAUGUUGAGUUGAACUUAUGACAAUCUAAUGAGAUUGUUUAUAUUAUUUUUGCAAAUGAUAUGAAAUAUUCAUAUAUGUAUUGUUUUGGAAA